AUUGAACGCUGGCGGCAGGCUUAACACAUGCAAGUCGAGCGGGGAAGGUUGCUUCGGUAACUGACCUAGCGGCGGACGGGUGAGUAAUGCUUAGGAAUCUGCCAUUUAGUGGGGGACAACAUUCCGAAAGGAAUGCUAAUACCGCAUACGUCCUACGGGAGAAAGCAGGGGAUCUUCGGACCUUGCGCUAAAUGAUGAGCCUAAGUCGGAUUAGCUAGUUGGUGGGGUAAAGGCCUACCAAGGCGACGAUCUGUAGCGGGUCUGAGAGGAUGAUCCGCCACACUGGGACUGAGACACGGCCCAGACUCCUACGGGAGGCAGCAGUGGGGAAUAUUGGACAAUGGGCGGAAGCCUGAUCCAGCCAUGCCGCGUGUGUGAAGAAGGCCUUAUGGUUGUAAAGCACUUUAAGCGAGGAGGAGGCUACCUAGAUUAAUACUCUAGGAUAGUGGACGUUACUCGCAGAAUAAGCACCGGCUAACUCUGUGCCAGCCGCCGCUGUAAAAC
rnacentral:rRNA from 1 species